AAAAACGACUCUCGGCAACGGAUAUCUCGGCUCACGCAUCGAUGAAGAACGUAGCAAAAUGCGAUACUUGGUGUGAAUUGCAGAAUCCCGUGAAUCAUCGAGUUUUUGAACGCAAGUUGCGCCCAAAACCAUCCGGUUGAGGGCACGCCUGCCUGGNCGUC
rnacentral:rRNA from 1 species